UAGGAAAUGGUGUAGUGGAAGCACCAAGAGUUUUGAUCUCUUCAGGAAGGGUUCGAACCCCUUUUUUCUAAU
rnacentral:tRNA from 1 species